UGCUGGAUGCGAUUCCGGUUUAAGACAGACAUAACUAUGCUUGUUCGUUUGAGGAUUGUUGUUGUUGCUGUUCCUCUUCAUGCUUUCCCUCCUGGAAGCUAGAGUUGAAGAAAAACGAGAAUCAGGGGAGAUGAAACGUUUUACCCAAGGCGAUGAGAAAGAAAGCUCAAAGGUUUUUUUGGAUUGGUGCUUCUCCACGAGGAUCUUUGAACCUUGUUUCACGUUUCCUUCAACACUAGACCCAGAGUUCACAUCUUUUUUGUGUGUUAAUGAAGUUCAUAUGUUUGUGUGAACAUCCUUUACUCUUUUUGGUUAGAUUUUUUUCCAAGGGUUAAUGUUUUUAUUAAAGAAAUUACUAUAUUUUUUUAUCACUUUGAAGAAAUUGGUCAUCCAUGUUCCC